UACGUAGGCAGCAAGCGUUGUUCGGAAUUACUGGGCGUAAAGAGUGUGUAGGCGGUGCUCCAAGUCUGGUGUGAAAUCUCCCGGCUUAACUGGGAGGGUGCAUUAGAAACUGGAAUGCUAGAGGAUGGGAGAGGUAAGCGGAAUUCCUGGUGUAGCGGUGAAAUGCGUAGAUAUCAGGAGGAACACCUGUGGUGUAGACAGCUUACUGGACCAUUUCUGACGCUGAGACACGAAAGCGUGGGGAGCAAACAGG
rnacentral:rRNA from 1 species